UGUAUUCACUACUGUAAGUCGCUCUGGAUAAGACUGUCUGCUAAAUGACUAAAA
rfam:Salmo salar isolate Sally breed double haploid chromosome ssa13, whole genome shotgun sequence.